rnacentral:rRNA from 1 species
GUAGGGUCCGAGCGUUGUCCGGAAUUAUUGGGCGUAAAGGGCUCGUAGGCGGUCCGUCACGUCGGGAGUGAAAACUCAGGGCUCAACCCUGAGCGUGCUUCCGAUACGGGCGGACUAGAGGUAUGCAGGGGAGAACGGAAUUCCUGGUGUAGCGGUGGAAUGCGCAGAUAUCAGGAGGAACACCGGUGGCGAAGGCGGUUCUCUGGGCAUUACCUGACGCUGAGGAGCGAAAGCAUGGGGAGCGAACAGGAUUAGAUACCCUGGUAGUCCAUGCCGUAAACGUUGGGCGCUAGGUGUGGGGUCCUUCCACGGAUUCCGUGCCGCAGCUAACGCAUUAAGCGCCCCGCCUGGGGAGUACGGCCGCAAGGCUAAA